AUUGAACGCUGGCGGCAGGCCUAACACAUGCAAGUCGAGCGGAUGAAGGGAGCUUGCUCCUGGAUUCAGCGGCGGACGGGUGAGUAAUGCCUAGGAAUCUGCCCUGUCGUGGGGGAUAACGUCCGUAAACGGGCGCUAAUACCGCAUCCGUCCUGAGGGUGAAAGUGGGGGAUCUUCGGACCUCACGCUAUCUGCUGAGCCUAGGUCGGAUUAGCUAGUUGGUGGGGUAAAGGCCUACCAAGGCGACGAUCCGUAACUGGUCUGAGAGGGUGAUCAGUCACACUGGAACUGAGACACGGUCCAGACUCCUACGGGAGGCAGCAGUGGGGAAUAUUGGACAAUGGGCGAAAGCCUGAUCCAGCCAUGCCGCGUGUGUGAAGAAGGUCUUCGGAUUGUAAAGCUCUUUAAGUUGGGAGGAAGGGCAGUAAUUUAAUACCUGGCUGUUUUGACGGUACCAACAGAAUAAGCACCGGCUAACUUCGUG
rnacentral:rRNA from 1 species